CCUACGGGUGGCAGCAGUGGGGAAUAUUGGACAAUGGGCGAAAGCCUGAUCCAGCCAUGCCGCGUGUGUGAAGAAGGCCUUCGGGUUGUAAAGCACUUUCAGUGGGGAAGAAAGCCUUGGGGCUAAUACCCUCGAGGAAGGACAUCACCCACAGAAGAAGCACCGGCUAACUCCGUGCCAGCAGCCGCGGUAAUACGGAGGGUGCGAGCGUUAAUCGGAAUUACUGGGCGUAAAGCGCGCGUAGGCGGUCUGAUAAGCCGGUUGUGAAAGCCCCGGGCUCAACCUGGGAACGGCAUCCGGAACUGUCAGGCUAGAGUGCAGGAGAGGAAGGUAGAAUUCCCGGUGUAGCGGUGAAAUGCGUAGAGAUCGGGAGGAAUACCAGUGGCGAAGGCGGCCUUCUGGACUGACACUGACGCUGAGGUGCGAAAGCGUGGGUAGCAAACAGGAUUAGAUACCACGGUAGUC
rnacentral:rRNA from 1 species